GAACUCGUCCCCCCUCCCAGCUGGUCUGUGUUCGUACAGGAUGUUUGAUUGGCCAGGUGUUUCUUCAAGUGCAGAGGAUUGGAUACUUGGUUAAUCACAAAUACUGGGAUGUCUGUUUACAAACGUGAGGAAUCUUCAACGGACAAUUUGGAGGAAAGGAUUUGUCAAAAAUAUAAAUUUCCAUAAGGAUGUCAUCGUGAUUAAUAUUUGAUUAUCUUCCACUUUAAGGGGCCAAAACUCUUGGCAUUUGUCAAAAAAAAUAUUAGAUUUCAAACAAUGUUAUAAUAUUGCUUCAUCGUUCUCCUCUUUGUAAAACUGGUCAUUAAGUUGAAACUGUAACAAGCACCGCCCUCAUUGAAACUUGUUUUUUCCCAUCUGCGCUGUAAUGGGCUGCCUCUUGAUUGGAGAACCCUUCGUUAUCCUCCGUUGAUAUAUGAAGACCCAAGAUGAGCUCAAAACGACAUUCCCACAGCUAGAGCAUUGUAGACACUUUUUAUGGCAUUGUAUUCAUUACAUUGUGAUAAUAAUGAAAAGUAUUUUACAGUUUUUAUUAUUUAAUGUAUUUUAUUUUGUUUUCAAAAAGGUGUCAAUGAAAAAACUAUAGGUGCCAAUACUGGGACCAAAACGUGUCGAACACACUAGUGAGUUAAUGAGCUAGUUUCGAAGGAGAUAUCUAACAGGCAACGAUAUCCAACAGGUAACAGUCUUUCUCAUGAAGACAUGAGAGCCAACACAUCUCUUCCCAUGCUUAUUUGAUGAAUUCAUCGAUCACUUAAUUCUCUAUUCACAAGAUUGUCUUUAAUAUAAGGUUUAGGGUGUGUGUGUAUUUUCUACAUGUGUGUCUGUGAUAUGUAGCACUUUGUGUGCGUACAUGUGAGUGUGUACAUGUGGGUAUGUACAUGUGUAUGCAUCUGCGUGUGAGUGUAUAUGUGUGUGUGCAUGUGAGUGUGUGUGAGUGUGCAUGCGUGCAUGUGUUUGUGUGUGCGCGAGGGCCUUUUCUACGAGUGUUUAAUCGGACCGUGUGCAUUUAUCGGACACACAUGCGAUCUAUGUUUACUGAGGCGAUCGGAAUCCUAUAUUGUACGCGCAUCAUAACUUUUCUAGCGUGCACUCUGUUUGCAUGUAACUUUUACAUGGGAUGCGCACGUUUGGCUUGUGUUUUGAAGUAUCUACAAAUGAUCUGUACAAAAUGGCCUUAAAUCUUUCACGGAGUUUCUUUGAAUUGUGGGAUGCCUUCUUCUGAUUAAUGGAUUGUUCGAGGAUUUAAAUCGGGAAUCUAUUUUGUGUCUGUGUUUUUAUUGCUUUGGAGUGUUCUUUUUUAUUUGCACAACACAUUUAUUGACAGAAAACUAUCUUGUACUUUUUGAUGGCGUGGUUCAUCGGAAAACGCAUGACUAAUGUAUACUGAUUGUCUGUUAAUCCGUAUAUAAUAGAUGACUAUUUCUGUAUUAAAUUAUACAUUUUUUCAAUAAAUAUUCUUACUAAACACAAA
ensembl:lncRNA